CAGUAGCCACGGGAAUACAGAGGGUGCGAGCGUUAAUCGGAUUUACUGGGCGUAAAGCGUGCGUAGGCGGCUUUUUAAGUCGGAUGUGAAAUCCCUGAGCUUAACUUAGGAAUUGCAUUCGAUACUGGGAAGCUAGAGUAUGGGAGAGGAUGGUAGAAUUCCAGGUGUAGCGGUGAAAUGCGUAGAGAUCUGGAGGAAUACCGAUGGCGAAGGCAGCCAUCUGGCCUAAUACUGACGCUGAGGUACGAAAGCAUGGGGAGCAAACAGGAUUAGAUACCCGGGUAGUCCCUGUCUCUUAUAU
rnacentral:rRNA from 1 species